UAUGCUUGUCUCAAAGAUUAAGCCAUGCAUGUCUAAGUACAGGCUCUUGUGAACGGCGAAACCGCGAAUGGCUCAUUAGAUCAGUUAAUAUUUAUUAGAUCGUACGUCGCUACUUGGAUAACUGUGGUAAUUCUAGAGCUAAUACAUGCAAACAAACUGUCGCCCUAGCGGCGACAGUGCUUUUAUUAGGUCAAAACCAACGCGGCGCUCGGCAACGGGUGCCGCCCAAAGCUGGUGACUCUGGAUAACUUUUCGUCGAUCGCACGGCCUCGCGCCGGCGACGUAUCUUUCAAAUGUCUGCCCUAUCAAGUCUCGAAGGUAGGUGCUAUGCUUACCUUGCUUAUAACGGGUAACGGGGAAUCAGGGUUCGAUUCCGGAGAGGGAGCAUGAGAAACGGCUACCACAUCUAAGGAAGGCAGCAGGCGCGCAAAUUACCCACUCCUGGCNNNNNNNGGUAGUGACAAGAAAUAACAAUACGGGACUCUAUCGAGGCCCCG
rnacentral:rRNA from 1 species